ACUAACAAGGAUUCCCCUAGUAACUGCGAGUGAAGCGGGAAAAGCUCAAAUUUAAAAUCUGGCGGUCUUUGGCCGUCCGAGUUGUAAUCUAGAGAAGUAAUGCCCGUGCUGGACCGUGUAUAAGUCUCCUGGGAUGGGGCGUCAUAGAGGGUGAGAAUCCCGUCUUUGACACGGACUACCAGUGCAUUGUGGUAUGCUCUCAAAGAGUCGAGUUGUUUGGGAAUGCAGCUCAAAAUGGGUGGUAAAUUCCAUCUAAAGCUAAAUAUUGGCGAGAGACCGAUAGCGAACAAGUACCGUGAGGGAAAGAUGAAAAGAACUUUGGAAAGAGAGUUAAACAGUACGUGAAAUUGCUGAAAGGGAAACGCUUGAAGUCAGUCGCGUUGGCCAGGGAUCAGCCUUGCUUUUGCAUGGUGUACUUUCUGGUUGACGGGUCAGCAUCAAUUUUGACCACUGGAAAAGGUUCAAGGGAAUGUGGCAGCUUCGGCUGUGUUAUAGCCCCUGUUCACAUACAGUGGUUGGGAUUGAGGAACUCAGCACGCCGCAAGGCCGGGUUUCGACCACGUUCGUGCUUAGGAUGCUGGCAUAAUGGCUUUAAGCGACCCGUCUUGAAACACGGACCAAGGAGUCUAACAUGCCUGCGAGUAUUUGGGUGGAAAACCCAAGUGCGCAAUGAAAGUGAAAGUUGAGAUCCCUGUCGCGGGGAGCAUCGACGCCCGGACCAGAACUUUUGGGACGGAUCCGCGGUGGAGCAUGUAUGUUGGGACCCGAAAGAUGGUGAACUAUGCCUGAAUAGGGUGAAGCCAGAGGAAACUCUGGUGGAGGCUCGUAGCGAUUCUGACGUGCAAAUCGAUCGUCAAAUUUGGGUAUAGGGGC
rnacentral:rRNA from 1 species